rnacentral:misc_RNA from 1 species
GCAGAACAGUCAUAUCUUCACAAUGGCAUUCAAGCAUUGGCCCAAGCCUAGAAUCCACAUUUUACUACUGAUCUAUGGAAGUGACAUGGAGGACUAGUAUGAAAUUCGGUACAAGGAAUUGGAUUAAAAUUUGUCCAAAGCAAUUGGAAUGGACGCCAUUUGGUUAGCAGUCAUAAAAAAGGGGAAAGGGAAUAGAAAUCUCAUUCACAUUCCCGAUUCCUAAUACUUGACAAUCAAGUAGGAAGAAAUUAAGGCUUAUCUAUUUGUGAGGUAUUGAUUCUAUUCUUUUUUGAGUAAUCAAACACAAGAAAAAGAAAUGAAAGUUUCCUAUUCCUGAUCUUUCAUUCCUGGUAACUAAACAGCACCUCAGUGUCUCAUGACAGAAGACAGAUCAAGGUUUCUGGGUCACUAUUGGGCAUCGAUGCCUGAAGCUUUUGUCUCAAGCUAAAAAGCAGACUUUCUCAAAAUAUUCCAAGUAAAAAAGAAAUGACCAAAUGAACGAGCUAGACGAGUCAUAUUUUCUGUUAUCACCGAACUGAUAUUCAGUAAAAAGGAUAUCAGGGACCAGGGGCAGUCCUACAUUAUUGGCUGGAGGGCCACUGCCCCCUCCAAAGCUGAAAAAUUGCACAGAGUAAUAUUUAUUUGAUAUUAGAAUAGCCCCCCUCCAAAAAUCAUUUCUUGGCCCCUCCAAGAGUGGACUCUCUAAAAGACAUGAGUUGGCAAGAAAGGGCUCAGUAAAUUUAAAUUUUCAACUCCAUUACUUAACAUAAUAAAUUAGAGAAAGCAACAUUCCAUUAUUUAACACAAUAAAUCAGAGAAAGCAACAUUCUUU